rnacentral:rRNA from 1 species
UACAGAGGUCUCAAGCGUUGUUCGGAAUCACUGGGCGAAAGCGCACGAGGCGGAAUUGGAAAGUCAGAGGUGAAAUCCCAGGGCUCAACCUUGGAACUGCCUUUGAAACUCCCAGUCUUGAGUUCAGAGAGGUGAGUGGAAUUCCAGUGUAGAGGUGAAAUUCGUAGAUAUUCGGAGGAACACCAGUGGCGGAAGGCGGCUCACUGGCUCGAUACUGACGCUGAGGUGCGAAAGCGUGGGGAGCAAACAGGA